AAAAGGUCACAUGUUGUAUGAAAUAUCCAGAACAGACAAAUCUAUAGAGACAGAAAGUGGAUUAGUGGUUUCCAGGGACUGGAAGCUGCAGCGGGUGGAGGUUGACUGCUAAAGAUACAGGGUUUCUUUUGGGGUGAUGAAAAUGUUCUGGAAUUAAAUAGUGAUAAUGAAAUGUAAGUAUGGUAAUAAAACUACUGAAUUAAAAAUUUCAAAGUGGUGAAUUUUAUGAUAUGUGUCUUAUAUCUGAAUUUUAAAAACCUGACUAAGAAGGGACUAAAGCAGAGGGUGACAAGUUGGCUUCCAGGUAACUAAUAGUAGCAGGUGGGACAGGGAAGAAGAUUGUGGACAAGAAAAAAGAUUAAGUAAAGCCUUUGAAAAGAAGUGAACUAAUUUGGGAAGACCUCGGUGGAGGCAGGGAUUAGGUAUCAGAGUGGAGAACCAGUAAUACAGGAAAAGAAAGAAAAUGUAUAGAUGUUGGAAAGGCACAAGGAAAACUAAGUAUUGGGGUUCCAUCUCUGGAUAAGAUGAAGUAAGCAUGCUUCACCUUUUCUCUCACAUAGAAAACAACUCUAAAACCUGGAUAGAAUGUAUGGAGCAGCUAUUCGAGAACGUCAAAGCAUUAAUAGCAGUUUGUGAUUUGGAGAAGAACACCAGAGUUCAAAGUACCACUGAACUGAUGGUGGCUGAUGGCAGGUUCUGACAUCUCAGAGAGGUUGGCAACUUGGAGGUCUCCCACCAGCUCUUCAGACUCUCACGAUAUUGGCAACUGCUGGGCCUCACUCACAAGCUUUCAGCCAGCUCUGGGAGCUGUGCUUGUGAUGGCUGCAGCCCAAACUACAUCAACGAGAAGAUCCUGGAGCUGAAGCAAUUCCCGACACGUCUUCCUUUCUGCAUGGGAAGAUCCAAGCCUGGAUGAGGGUGCAUCAUCCAGGAAGCGUUGAGAAGGCAGUGACCUUGGUGCAGCAUUUAGAGUGAGAACCCAGGAGACGAAGGCAAUGAAGCCGAGCCGAGGACGAGCAGCAGGACUGCGAGGAGGCUGGAGCUGAUGAUGGUGAAAGCGAGGAUUCGCCUGUGAUGGUGUCAGCGAUGACAUGGGCACAGUCUCACCCAGGACCCCAGGAGUCCUGGCUGUUCCCAAACUGACUGACCAAGAUAAUACAUUCUUUUCCAGAUCCCCAUCUUCAAGAAUAGUACAAAGAAAAUGGUACAUUUUGAUGACUUAUUAGUGGAACUUGACCCCUGGGGAGGUUUCACCACUUGGGAGCAGCCCGCAGGUAUGGUGAGCUGAGGUUGCAGAACGUGGAACACAAAGCUUGCCUUUUUAAACAGCAUGAAGACACAGUGCUUUUCUUUAGGAUCUGAGUUAAAUAAAGGUAAGGGGGC